UACAGAGGGGGCAAGCGUUAUUCGGAAUUAUUGGGCGUAAAGGGCGCGUAGGCGGCCUGGCAAGUGGAAGGUGAAAUCCCUCGGCUUAACCGAGGAACUGCCCUCCAAACUGCUUGGCUUGAGUCCGGGAGAGGUGAGUGGAAUUCCAGGUGUAGCGGUGAAAUGCGUAGAUAUCUGGAGGAACACCGGUGGCGAAGGCGGCAUCCUGGACCAAUACUGACGCUGAGGAGCGAAAGCCAGGGGAGCAAACGGG
rnacentral:rRNA from 1 species